rnacentral:lncRNA from 1 species
CAUACCCUGAGACUAGGAGCAAUUUGACUUUGUCCUGAGGCCAGUUUACAUAGGAAAUUCCCUGGGGCAGAUACCUGGUGACGUGGCUGACCUGCAGCUGUCCCUAACAGUUUUUCUAUUUGUUACCUUAGUCUUUUCUCUGCUGAUCUGGCCAAUUAGGCUAGAGUCUGUUGCCAGUUUGUGUGCCCCUCUCCCCUCUUCAUAUAAAAACCCAGACAAGGCUCAUGCCCUGUCUCCCUCUGCUCCUCUAUACAGCUUCACCAGCUGACAGCUGCAAUUCCCAAUGUGGUGGGGUCAGCCUGUGAUGUGAGGAAAGGCCCAGAGGCCUUGGAGCUGCUGGCCCUCCUGAGGUGGACACUGAAGCUGGAUUUCUUAAGGGAAGGCAUCCGUGGGACUUGGCAUGUCCAGGCUGCGCCACCUCCAGAGGUGAUGAAGAUACCAGACCUCUAGCCUGUCUGCAGAGUCUCCAUCCAAGAAAAAUGAAAUCACCUACUCUCCCAAAGAAAAAUCCAAGCCCAGUGUGGUAACACCUCACAGAAGGCCACUGCACCACUCCUGGCCAGCAUAGCCAUGGGGAAUCUACCAUCUUUUUCGUUGUGUGUGAGGUUGUGGCUGGAGACGUCAGUUCAGGCAUUUUGCAAAUGCCCCCAGCCCCUGAAUCAUCACUGUGAGGGAGGCACAUGCUUUACUAAGAACUUGCUGCUCUCCUCCAACCCAAUCUGCUCUACUUGGGGGAGCCAAGUGUCUGCAUCCAGGUACUUGCAGGCAGCACUUUCUCUACAUUGGAUGCCAAGAGUGACAGCAAAUGGCUUUCAAUAACUGAGUGCAGACAUCACACCUGUGUCACUUCUGAAGCCUGCCAGAUAUAUGGGGGCCCAGACUAUCUCAGAAGGAGCCUCACAUGCCUUGCCUGUCAGGUGCAAGUGGCAUGGCCCAUACCAGGCAUCUAUGUGUGAG